UUCCGGUUGAUCCUGCCGGAGGCUACCGCUAUUGGAGUUCGAUUAAGCCAUGCGAGUCGAGAGUCCUCGGGACUCGGCGUACCGCUCAGUAACACGUGGGUAACCUGCCCUAUGCUGGGGAAUAACCUCGGGAAACUGAGAAUAAUGCCCCAUAGCCCACUACGCCUGGAACGGUGAGUGGGUCAAAGCCCCGGCGGCAUAGGAUGGGCCUGCGCCGUAUCAGGUUGUAGGGGGUGUAAAGUACCCUCUAGCCAUCAACGCGUACGGGUGUUGGGAGACAUUGCCCGGAGAUGGAUUCUGAGACACGAAUCCAGACCCUACGGGGUGCAGCAGGCGCGAAAACUUGGCAAUGCGAGCAAUCGUGACCAGGGAACUCCAAGUGCGUAGGGUAAGACCUACGCUUUUCUUGACUCUUCAAAGGUCUUGGAAUAAGGGGUGGGUAAGGACGGUGCCAGCCGCCGCGGUAAUACCGGCGCCUCAAGUGGUAGUCGCUUUUAUUGGGCCUAAAACGUCCGUAGCCGGUCUGGUGCAUUCGUGGGUAAAUCAACCCGCUCAACGGGUUGAAUUCUGCGAGCACGGCCAGACUUGGGACCGGGAGAGGUGUGGGGUACUCUCAGGGUAGGGGUAAAAUCCUGUCAUCCCGAGCGGACCACCUGUUGCGAAGGCGCCACACUAGAACGGAUCCGACGGUCAGGGACGAAGCCUAGGGGCACGAACCGGAUUAGAUACCCGGGUAGUCCUAGGUGUAAACGCUGUGGACUUGGUGUUGGGAACUCCCAGAGGGCUCUCAGUGCCGUAGCGAAGGUGAUAAGUCCACUGCCUGGGGAGUACGGUCGCAAGGCUGAAACUUAAAGGAAUUGGCGGGGGAACACCGCAACCUGAGGAUUGUGCGGUUUAUUGGAGUCAACGCCGGA
rnacentral:rRNA from 1 species